AAUAUUGGACAAUGGGCGAAAGCCUGAUCCAGCCAUGCCGCGUGUGUGAAGAAGGUCUUCGUAUUGUACAGCACUUUAAGUUGGGAAGAAGGUCUUUAGGUUAAUACCCUGAAGUUUUGACGUUACCAACAGAAUAAGCCCGGGCUAACUCUGCUCCAGCAGCCGCGGUAAUACAGAGGGUGCAAGCGUUAAUCGGAAUUACUGGGCGUAAAGCGCGCGUAGGUGGUUCGUUAAGUUGGAAGUGAAAGCCCCGGGCUUAACCUGGGAAUUGCUUUCAAAACUGACAGGCUAGAGUACGGUAGAGGGUAGUAGAAUUUCCUGUGUAGCGGUGAAAUGCGUAGAUAUAGGAAGGAACAUCAGUGGCGAAGGCGACUACCUGGACUGAUACUGACACUGAGGUGCGAAAGCGUGGGGAGCAAACAGG
rnacentral:rRNA from 1 species